AUUGAACGCUGGCGGCAGGCUUAACACAUGCAAGUCGAGCGGGGGAAGGUAGCUUGCUACCGGACCUAGCGGCGGACGGGUGAGUAAUGCUUAGGAAUCUGCCUAUUAGUGGGGGAUAACAUCUCGAAAGGGAUGCUAAUACCGCAUACGUCCUACGGGAGAAAGCAGGGGAUCUUCGGACCUUGCGCUAAUAGAUGAGCCUAAGUCGGAUUAGCUAGUUGGUGGGGUAAAGGCCUACCAAGGCGACGAUCUGUAGCGGGUCUGAGAGGAUGUUCCGCCACACUGGGACUGAGACACGGCCCAGACUCCUACGGGAGGCAGCAGUGGGGAAUAUUGGACAAUGGGGGGAACCCUGAUCCAGCCAUGCCGCGUGUGUGAAGAAGGCCUUAUGGUUGUAAAGCACUUUAAGCGAGGAGGAGGCUACUGAGACUAAUACUCUUGGAUAGUGGACGUUACUCGCAGAAUAAGCACCGGCUAACUCUGUGCCAGCCGCCGCAGUAA
rnacentral:rRNA from 1 species